UACUGAAACUAAAUUAGGGUUUGAUACCAAAAUAAUAUCUCAAUCCAAAAAACCUGUAAUUAUCAUGAUUUUCAUUAAUAUUUGCAGUUAACAUUGUGGCAUAUUUCUUUGAAAAAGAAAAAGAAAUUAUAUGAAUUCUGCAGUAAAUUAUUCAUUUGUUUUAUUAUUUUAGAUGUCUAAAUUCACAUUGGGUCUGGAUGAACUUAAUUUACCCAAAUAUCACACAGAUCUUGUGUGCACAAGAUGAAAAGAGAUGUUGAACAUUGAAUGGUAGUGUGGCAGAUUUACUUAGUUCCAGUGAAUCUGGUUAAAAUGAAAUUUAAAUUCAGCUAUAUUGAAUGCAUUUUGACUGGAACAAGAUCUAACUAUAAACACCUCUUCCUCCGAAAAUAGAUUUAGUACAAUUCAAAUCAUCCUGAUCACUUCCUUCUCUCCACUUUUAUAUAUAUUUAUAUAUAUAAAAGUACCAAGUACCAAAUAGUUGUAGAUGAGUGCAGAAGGGAAUAAUA